AUUUAAAUAGUUUAAAGAAAAUAUUAGAAUGUGGAUCUAAAGAUAUAUUUUUAAUAUUUUAAAUU
rnacentral:tRNA from 1 species